GCAUCCAUGGAUGAUUGGUUAAGGGCCCAACUCAUAAUUGGAAAAUUCGUAGGCUCAAUUCCUACUAGAUGCA
rnacentral:tRNA from 1 species